rnacentral:rRNA from 1 species
UACGAAGGUGGCAAGCGUUGUUCGGAUUUACUGGGCGUACAGGGAGCGUAGGCGGUUGGAUAAGCCCUCCGUGAAAUCUCCAGGCUUAACCUGGAAAGUGCAGAGGGGACUGUUCAGCUAGAGGAUGGGAGAGGAGCGCGGAAUUCCCGGUGUAGCGGUGAAAUGCGUAGAGAUCGGGAGGAAGGCCGGUGGCGAAGGCGGCGCUCUGGAACAUUUCUGACGCUGAGGCUCGAAAGCGCGGGGAGCGAACGGG